GGAACCUAAAUUAUUAUAAUCAUAAUUAUUAUCAAUUUAUAGUAAGGCCUAUUCUGAUAACUACAAAAAUCUUAAGACAGAAAAAUUAUCAUUAUCUCUAUAAUAUAAAAAUGAAUCGCUAAAUGUGUUGCUAAGCGUAUAACUCGAGAACCGCUGAACCGAUUUCGCAAAUUCUCUGUUUAGAAUGUUUUUAGAGGUACCGGGAUGGUUCUUACGAAGGAAAACUAGAAAAAUUGCCUGAAAAAGUCUUAAAUCCACAAUUUUCUAAUCACCCAUACAAAAAAUUUGUGUCGUUAGUCUCGAAAAAAGUCAAGAAGGGCCAAACCGAUCCGGCUAAUUUUAGUUUUGAAAUAUUUAUGGAAGGCCGGGGAAGGAUUAGAAAGUAAGUAUAUAUCGAAAAAUUGUGAGGAAGAUAACAAGAAGAUGAUUUUAUUUGAAUUUACAACAAAAUUAUAAAAAAAAACAAGACAAAACAAAAAAUAAUAAUAUUUUGAUAGUUGUCAUUGUUGCUUUGUUAAAAUAUUUUUAUCAUUGUUCAAUUGUAUAAGGCUGUGUCGAUAGCCCAAAACAAUUUGUAACAAGUAGGGAAAGGCAACCGAACAUUUUAUACUCUCGCAAUUUAUUGAUGUAAUUUUAUUACACACAAUUUGAAAUAAAGUCCAAUAAAUUAACGAAUAUCAGCACAUAUAGUACAUGAGGGUUGAGGUAAUUCCUGAACCGAUUUCUCUCAUUUUCAACGCCCAGUUAUAACGGCAAAUCGGCCUUGAAAUUACUCCUAAAUUGCAAAUGAACGAAACACCAGUCUGCAAAAUGGCCAAAAAAAAGAGCUAUAAAGAAGAUUUUCCAGAUAUUCAAGUCGCUGGAGGUACUGCACAGGACUUUAAAAGAUUUUCGCGACAACGAAAAUAUUUUUGGUAAAGCCAUGAUUCUGUUGGCAUGUGAUUUUCGCCAGACUAUUCCUGGAUCAACUGUUGCUGACGAACUAAUCACAUUCCUAAAGUCAUCUAAUUUGUGGCGACACAUAAAGAAUCUCCACUUAACAAAUAACAUACGAUUGUUUUUCCAAUAAUAUCAUACUGUGAUUGUAGAAAUAGUUGAAAAUGGUAGCAACGCAGUUGACACCUGGAUGGAUUAAUAACAUUUUUAACGGGUUUCUGUCACUUGAUGGCCUCGAAAGAGGAGCUUAUCAUCGUGUUUUUCCUGACAUGAAACCAUAAUAUAAUAAACAGAAAUGGCUGAUUGGAUGACCUAUAUUGGUGGUAAAAAAACAAGGAUUUAGAAUUUCGUUAAAGGAGAGUUGACACAGCUACAAACCAGGAUGACAUAUUAAAUUAUCCCACCGACUAUUUAAAAUUGCUGGACUAUCCCCACUCACUUGCAAUUAAAAGUAGUGUGAGUUUUCAUCAUGCUGCGUAACAUAAAUCAACAUCAAACUUUGCAAAAGAACAAGACUGGCUGUGAAGAAGAGUGUCAAAAUACAUAAAAGGUCAGUUUUCAAGAUCAGCCGGGAAAGAGUAGCAGCAGCCAAACUCCUAAAGAUGGAGGCAAAUCCCGACAUAGACGAAAAGUUUGGAUGCGAAGGUAUUCGGAUAGCUUUACUGCCUCUCAAGGAUUAAAAAGAGCAGAGGUGGAGAUUGAAUUGGAAUCUAAUCCUUCAAUUGUAUGAUGGACUCCAAAUUUCAGGCUCACAUAAAACCUGCAUCAUGAGAUAACGACAUCAGCGAUAAUCGCAACAGGUUCACAUCAGAUAAUCUGGACAUCAACGCAAUAGUACGAACUAUGUGACUGUAGGGCUAAUCAAAACCUAGUUUAGGACAAUCAAACUUUAGGACGGGUUCUAUACAAUUAGUGCAGAUGGAAACAAACGGAAAGUUCAACCAUUACUCCUGGUUUAUAUAACCCGCACCACUCCGACUGUGCGGUCGCGAUGUCGAUGUUCACAGUACCUACGGUCAACUAGCCCAUAGGAACUAUUAGGAAACUCAAGGCCGUACGCGGCAGGUUGAAUCUUCACAGUGUUAUUACAACAUUGUAGGCUUUCCCUACUACGGUGUCUAGUAAACCUUAUGAUAGAGAGAAUCGUACUGGCUUACAUUCCACUUUCUUGGAGGACCUCGAGAGUAAUUUUCAUAUCCAAGAUGGGGAAGAAGAACUAUUCAUUGGCCAAAACCUUUAAGAACAAAGGCACUGAACCUGAAACCUCUGCAUAUGAAUCAAAAUUAAUACAGAGGUGGCCCUGAAACCCAGAAAUUCAUAAAGAACAAAAUAUAUGUCUUUCUGGACAUCGAGCGAGCGUACGGUAAUGGUUGUGUGUAUCAUCAAAACUCUCGAAAAUAGGCUGAUUGCCGAACCGCUUUUUAAGUAAAUUACACGAAGACAGCUAAAACCAUAGUACGAGACAGUACAAUCCGAUUAGAUAUAUCUUCCUACUAAUUUAAAGAGUGCAGUGGUUUGUGUUAGUUAGAUAGAUUUUGAGCCCUACAAAAUAUAAGGGUUUAAAAUGUACGGUAACAACAGAACUUAACCUUUACUGACCAUUUCGUGACCUGUUUAAAUAUGCUUCGUUACAUACUAAUUUAAAUAUAUUAGAUUUACCAACCUUA